UACAGAGGGGGCAAGCGUUGUUCGGAAUUACUGGGCGUAAAGGGCGCGUAGGCGGCCUGCUAAGUCGAACGUGAAAUCCCUGGGCUCAACCCAGGAACUGCGUCCGAUACUGGUUGGCUUGAAUCCGGGAGAGGGACGUGGAAUUCCAGGUGUAGCGGUGAAAUGCGUAGAUAUCUGGAGGAACACCGGUGGCGAAGGCGGGUCUCUGGGCAGUAACUGACGCUGAGGAGCGAAAGCGUGGGGAGCGAACAGG
rnacentral:rRNA from 1 species